GAUGAACGCUAGCGACAGGCUUAACACAUGCAAGUCGCGGGGCAGCAUGGGGGUUGCUUGCAACCCAUGAUGGCGACCGGCGCACGGGUGAGUAACGCGUAACCAACCUGUCCUACACCACGGAAUACCCCGGCGAAGGUCGGACUACUACCGUAAGUUUUCCAUUGACGGCAUCCGAGUUGGACGCAAGGUUGGGGGGAGUUAGGGAGGGGUUGCGUCCGAUUUGCUUGACGGCGGGGGAACGGCCUUCCGUGGCUACGGUCGGUAGGGGUUCUGGGGGGAAGGUCCCCCACACUGGAACUGAGGCACAGUCCAGACUCCUACGGGACGCAGCAGUGUGGAAUACUGGUCGAUGGGCGUAAGCGUGAACCAGCCAAGUGGCGUGCAGGAUGACGGCCCUAUGGGUUGUAAACUGCUUUUAUGCGAGGAUAAAGUGGGCAACGAGUGGGCUUUUGCCGGUACCGCAUGAAUAAGGACCGGCUAAUUCCGUG
rnacentral:rRNA from 1 species